UACGUAGGGUGCGAGCGUUGUCCGGAAUUAUUGGGCGUAAAGAGCUCGUAGGCGGUCUGUCGCGUCUGCUGUGAAAUCCCGAGGCUCAACCUCGGGCCUGCAGUGGGUACGGGCAGACUAGAGUGCGGUAGGGGAGAUUGGAAUUCCUGGUGUAGCGGUGGAAUGCGCAGAUAUCAGGAGGAACACCGAUGGCGAAGGCAGAUCUCUGGGACGUAACUGACGCUGAGGAGCGAAAGCGUGGGGAGCGAACAGG
rnacentral:rRNA from 1 species